GUUCAUGAGCGUCCAACAAUGAUGACGUAAUCACAGUUUAUAAAUAAACAAUCGAACGACUGUCACGGACUUCUUGGAGACGGUGCCAUCUUGUAAAGACACCCCUCCACAGCAUGAGGGCCAAGUGGAGAAAGAAGCGUAUGCGCAGGCUGAAGCGCAAGAGGCGAAAGAUGAGGCAGAGGUCAAAAUAGAUUGCCCCCUUACAAAACCAUGUCUGUGACCUUUCUCAUGGACACAACACGAGCACUUGGGAGAUCCUUGGUCCCAAGUCUGGAACAAGACACAGGCCAAUGAGAUGCUAUGAAGAGAUGGCGCUAUUGUUGGUCAACCACCUGCCUGGGAGAUUUGAUAUGGGGACAUUGUGUUCUUUACUCUUCUACGAAACCAUCCCUACUCCAUUGCAUUUGUUGAUAUUUUCAAAGUUUUUGAUUUAAAAUUAAGUGGACUCAAUAUUGAUCUGAAACUGGGUCUAAAAAUGUCAAGAGGCCAUUUAUUUUUCAUUAUGCCCAAUCAAGUUCAGUUGCAAAGAUUUGUAACGCUAACCUGAGGGGUAUCCUACGACGCAGGUUCAAGGGAACUUUGAACUCGGGAUAACCAGUCAUACUGAAGUGGCUCACCUUUUGGCUUGGUCAAUUUAGGGCAAUGAAGUCUUAAACUGACCUGCUCCAGGUCUCUCUAACUAAUUGAACUGAGUGGAGGCCUAAUCUGAUUACCCUCUUGCAGAGACUCAUCAUUUGAGGAAGACUGAUUAAAUGUUUUAUGACAGAAUGCAUGUGAAAAUUAAUGCAAUGCAACACUGACUUACAAAUAUGGGGGAUGCUUGUGCAUAACGCUCUGUUUUUGACUGCUUCAAAAGGUUGGCCGCUUCGAUAGGCGUGACUAUUCAAACAUAUUUAGCUAAUGUGCCACUAACAAACUACAUACUCUAGUUAAGUGAAAUAUAAGCUAGCAUAAUCUAAGGCUGAGGCCGUUUGGAUGUGCUUACAAAUUCUCUAAAAUGAGGUGGUCUACGGUACAAAAUAAACAUUCUCUGGUGGCUAUUCCUGCAGUCAGUAACCCAAUUGCAUGCUCCCUCAACUUGAGACAUAAAGGAUCAGGUGCUCACUAACGGAUGUGCACAAUUUGAGAAAUAAACUUUUGUGGAUAUGGAGUGUU